UCUCCGUUGGUGAACCAGCGGAGGGAUCAUUGCUGGAACGCGCCUCGGCGCACCCAGAAACCCUUUGUGAACUUAUACCUUAUUGUUGCCUCGGCGCAGGCCGGCCCCCUUCUGGGGGCCCCUCGUUUCUGACGAGGAGCAGGCUCGCCGGCGGCCAAGUUAACUCUUGUUUUUAUUGUGAAACUCUGAGAAUAAAACAUAAAUGAAUCAAAACUUUCAACAACGGAUCUCUUGGUUCUGGCAUCGAUGAAGAACGCAGC
rnacentral:misc_RNA from 1 species